UGCAAUUAAACCUCGAUAAAGUAAUAUUCGAUCAAGUAAUAAUCUGGAUUAUAUAAUAAUUUCUUUCGAUCCCGACUUGGGUCAAUGGACUAAAGUAAUAAUCUCGUUAAAUGCAUUAAGUAAUAAAAAAAUUAAAUUUUUAAGGGCCCAAUAAAAAUAUAAAGUAAUAAUUACUGGAUUUUAUUGAGAAAAAAAGAAUAUAUAUAUAUAUAUAGCCAAAAAUCUUUCAAUCAAUCAACAAACCCAUACAAUAAUCAUUCCUUUUGAAAAUAUGCAUCUAUAGUUGAUUGUUUUUUCUUCCCACCUAAGCCAAAAUGAACCUCAUCCUUAACUUUUUGUAGAGCAUACACAACUUCCGGAAUAUUUUGCUCAUGUUGUAGCAAGUAGUUGCUUAAGGUGACUAUUGCUUGAAAUGCCUCUUUUGACGACACAUUUGGGACAACGCUACUAUCAUCUGGUUCAGGAUCAUUCUCAUCAUCAUUACUGUUCAUUACCGAUUGAAUAAUUUCUUCGUCUGUAGGUGAUUCCAUAACUGCAUCAUUCUCGCUAGGAUAAUUCAAAAGAUGUUCAACAUCCAUCACAUUUCUAUAGUGUAAAUUAGAGAUGACAUCAUUUAAUCCUUGGAUACCUUCAUCUAAUUCACCAACUUCUGGUUCGGGAACAUUGUUUUCUUCUGACCAAAUCUUGCAAUGCCGAAAACAAUUUGCAAUUGUUGUUGUCUUCACAUCAAAAUUCCAAGCCAUGUUAGCAAAAUUAAUAGCAUUCAAAAUAUUAAUUUUUUCAGGAUUUGGUGCUUCAACCUCAAGGCCUUGUAAGAUGCUAGAAUAAAAACGACGACGAUAAUGAGAUU
rnacentral:lncRNA from 1 species